rnacentral:rRNA from 1 species
AUUGAACGCUGGCGGCAGGCCUAACACAUGCAAGUCGAGCGGAGCGGCGGACGGGGGAGUAAUGCCUAGGAAUCUGCCUGGUCGUGGGGGAUAAGGUCCGGAAACGGGAGCUAAUACCGAAUACUCUCAGCUGAGCCUAGGUCGGAUUAGCUAGUUGGUGGGGUAAAGGCCUACCAGGGCGACGAUCCGUAACUGGUCUGAGAGGAUGAUCAGUCACACUGGAACUGAGACACGGUCCAGACUCCUACGGGAGGCAGCAGUGGGGAAUAUUGGACAAUGGGCGAAAGCCUGAUCCAGCCAUGCCGCGUGUGUGAAGAAGGUCUUCGGAUUGUAAAGCACUUUAAGUUGGGAGGCGUUACCAACAGAAUAAGCACCGGCUAACUCCGUGCCAGCAGCCGCGGUAAUUC